rnacentral:lncRNA from 1 species
GAGAGGUUGAUGUUGUGUGUGUGAGUGUGUUUCUGUGUUAUGCGUGUGUGUGUGCGGCUGAUAAGGAAGAAAAGGGGUGGUGGGGGUGUUGGGCUUUAGGUUUGGGUUAGGGGUUGGGUUUUAAAUUUGGGCCGGGUUUUUAAUUAGUGUUGGGCUGAAAAUUUUGUUAGAAUUUGGGCCGAGUUGGGCCGUUUCUUUUUCAUUUUUUAUUUAUUUAUUUAUUUCAGUUGGGCUUGAGUCUUUGGGCCAAGUCAGUAAUGGGCUCAAUUUAUUUAAUUUAGUUAUGGGACGAUUUUAU